AGUGAGUCCGGGCAGGGUCGAAUGCGGUGGGAGUAGAGAUGGGGUUACUAAUCUAAGAGAGUGGUUCGGAGGGAGGAGCAGGUAGGUUCCAAGAGGGCGGGAACUUCAGGAAAGCGCAGAGAGAACUCUCUCAGGCUUCAGAAAAGUGUAUACUCUUACUUUGCACCCUUGAGUCUGGCUCUUGCUUCUGGAGCCGUCGGGUAGGGGGUGGCCAUGAUCUUGGGGUCACCGGGGAGAGAGGUGGCCCUUUGUGGCUUCCAGAGGUCGGUACUGAAGGCGAACGUGCCUCAGUUGGGUGGCCGGGAGUUGCACCAGUUAUAACCCGGGCGUGUUUCGAUCCGCUGGUAGUUGUUUACUUGGUGAGGUUUGCGCCCGGCGGAGGGCGGUUGCCGUAUACCUAAAAUCGGAGUCAGCAGCAGUUUCCCUUUCCAGUGAGGAAUAUCAAUUCUUCUACGGUUAAGCCGGGAAAACAGCGGCUAGUUUGGGAGGGAAGAAACCCCUUGGGCAAACGCCCAAAGCCUGCGUAUAUUCCGGCCGGAGCAUCCUGGCGCCCAGUUUGGGGAGGAGGGGUGAAGGGGAAGAUCUGGAUACGAGGCCCGGCAGGGAGAGGGUAACUCCUGGAGCCACUCGCCGAGCACUGCCUGCGACCCCAAUCGGGGAUACCAUUCUGGUUGCUCAGUGAUUGACCAGGAGGCGGAAGCCAGUUAGGGGGACCAAGAAGUGGAGUAGGGAGAGCCUCCAUCGGCCCACGGAUGCGAGGCUCUGCCACUAUUUCCCAUUGGCCAAACCCUACUGGAAGUGGAAGGCUAAGAAGUCCACUGGUGCAAUCCAUACAGAAAAGAAACUACCACAGGGAAGAGAGAAAACGAUGGCGUUUUGACAAAUGGAACAAAGAUGGAGUGUGACUGACAAUUCAGGUCAGAAGGAAAAUUAAGGCACAGGAAGACUGAUGUUGGUCGGCCUCCUUGCCAAGAAGCAGAAAUUCAGGGGAAGGCGUCCAGCCACAUGCGAACUGGCUCAACACUGGCCAUUUUGUUUGAGCAAUUUUGUUGAAUGUUUUCUACAAAAGAGCACUUUUUCUCGGACUUCAAACAUCCUUAUAUGCAGGAUCAACACCACACACUGCCAUCAUCCCCUGGAGUAAGUGGGAGCUCCUGGAAGACCUGACUAUCUGGGGCUGAGUGGUGUGGCUCCAGGCAGAACUACUGCUGCAGCCAGGAAAGGAGACUCCCCACGGGAGACUAGCCUGUUCCUGGGCUCACUUCUCACCCCUCCUUCCCAGCAUCUUCCAUAGAAAAUAAAGAAACAUCAGAAAUAUAAAAACCAGGACCAAAAGGAGGCCCAGGUACAGGAGCAUAAAACAUCUGGCAACAUGUAGCAAAAACAGGAGACUUUUUUCUUCUAACUGAAUUUUGGCCUCUUGGUGCCAGUAUGUGAAAAAGGCCUUGUAGGCCAGACGCAGUGGCUCACACCUAUAAUCCUAGCACUUUGGGAGGCUGAGGCGGGCAGAUCAUAAGGUCAGGAGUU